ACAAGUGCAUGUGGUGGAUGCCUUGGCGAUCACAGGCGAUGAAGGACGCGGUAGCCUGCGAAAAGCUACGGGGAGCUGGCAAACGAGCUUUGAUCCGUAGAUGUCCGAAUGGGGAAACCCGGCCCUUUUGGGUCAUCCUAGACUGAAUACAUAGGUCUAGUGAAGCGAACGCGGUGAACUGAAACAUCUAAGUAACCGCAGGAAAAGAAAUCAACCGAGAUUCCCAAAGUAGUGGCGAGCGAAAUGGGAUGAGCCUUGUACUCUUUAUUUGUAUUGUUAGCCGAACGCUCUGGAAAGUGCGGCCAUAGCAGGUGAUAGCCCUGUAGGCGAAAACAGUAUGAAAGAACUAGGUGUACGACAAGUAGGGCGGGACACGUGAAAUCCUGUCUGAAGAUGGGGGGACCAUCCUCCAAGGCUAAAUACUCGUGAUCGACCGAUAGUGAACCAGUACCGUGAGGGAAAGGCGAAAAGAACCCCGGGAGGGGAGUGAAAUAGAUCCUGAAACCGCAUGCAUACAAACAGUCGGAGCCUCGUAAGGGGUGACGGCGUACCUUUUGUAUAAUGGGUCAGCGACUUACGUUCAGUAGCAAGCUUAACCGUAUAGGGCAGGCGUAGCGAAAGCGAGUCCGAAUAGGGCGUUCAGUUGCUGGGCGUAGACCCGAAACCAAGUGAUCUAUCCAUGGCCAGGAUGAAGGUGCGGUAACACGUACUGGAGGUCCGAACCCACUAACGUUGAAAAGUUAGGGGAUGAGCUGUGGAUAGGGGUGAAAGGCUAAACAAACUUGGAAAUAGCUGGUUCUCUCCGAAAACUAUUUAGGUAGUGCCUCGUGUCUCACCUUCGGGGGUAGAGCACUGUCAUGGUUGGGGGGUCUAUUGCAGAUUACCCCGCCAUAGCAAACUCCGAAUACCGAAGAGUGCAAUCACGGGAGACAGACAUCGGGUGCUAACGUCCGGUGUCAAGAGGGAAACAACCCAGACCGCCAGCUAAGGUCCCCAAAUAUAGCUAAGUGGGAAACGAAGUGGGAAGGCUAAAACAGUCAGGAGGUUGGCUUAGAAGCAGCCACCCUUUAAAGAAAGCGUAAUAGCUCACUGAUCGAGUCGUCCUGCGCGGAAGAUGUAACGGGGCUAAGCUAUAUACCGAAGCUGCGGAUGCGAGCUUUGCUCGCAUGGUAGGAGAGCGUUCCGUAAGCCUGCGAAGGUGCCUUGUAAAGGGUGCUGGAGGUAUCGGAAGUGCGAAUGCUGACAUGAGUAGCGAUAAAGGGGGUGAAAGGCCCCCUCGCCGUAAGCCCAAGGUUUCCUACGCAACGUUCAUCGGCGUAGGGUGAGUCGGCCCCUAAGGCGAGGCAGAAAUGCGUAGCUGAUGGGAAGCAGGUCAAUAUUCCUGCACCAUUGUUAGAUGCGAUGGGGGGACGGAUCGCGGAAGGUUGUCCGGGUGUUGGAAGUCCCGGUCGCUGCAUUGGAGAAGGCGCUUAGGCAAAUCCGGGCGCAGGAUUCAAGGGUGUGGCGCGAGCUCCUUAGGGAGCGAAGCAAUUGGAAGUGGUUCCAAGAAAAGCCUCUAAGCUUCAGUCUAACGAUGACCGUACCGCAAACCGACACAGGUGGGCGAGAUGAGUAUUCUAAGGCGCUUGAGAGAACUCGGGAGAAGGAACUCGGCAAAUUGGUACCGUAACUUCGGGAUAAGGUACGCCCUUGUAGCUUGACUGGCCUGCGCCAGGAGGGUGAAGGGGUUGCAAUAAACUGGUGGCUGCGACUGUUUAAUAAAAACACAGCACUCUGCAAACACGAAAGUGGACGUAUAGGGUGUGACGCCUGCCCGGUGCCGGAAGAUUAAAUGAUGGGGUGCAAGCUCUUGAUUGAAGUCCCGGUAAACGGCGGCCGUAACUAUAACGGUCCUAAGGUAGCGAAAUUCCUUGUCGGGUAAGUUCCGACCUGCACGAAUGGCGUAACGAUGGCCACACUGUCUCCUCCCGAGACUCAGCGAAGUUGAAGUGUUUGUGAUGAUGCAAUCUACCCGCGGCUAGACGGAAAGACCCCAUGAACCUUUACUGUAGCUUUGCAUUGGACUUUGAACCGAUCUGUGUAGGAUAGGUGGGAGGCUAUGAAACCGGAACGCUAGUUUCGGUGGAGCCGUCCUUGAAAUACCACCCUGGUUUGUUUGAGGUUCUAACCUUGGCCCGUGAUCCGGGUCGGGGACAGUGCAUGGUAGGCAGUUUGACUGGGGCGGUCUCCUCCCAAAGCGUAACGGAGGAGUACGAAGGUACGCUAGGUACGGUCGGAAAUCGUGCUGAUAGUGCAAUGGCAUAAGCGUGCUUAACUGCGAGACCGACAAGUCGAGCAGGUGCGAAAGCAGGUCAUAGUGAUCCGGUGGUUCUGUAUGGAAGGGCCAUCGCUCAACGGAUAAAAGGUACUCUGGGGAUAACAGGCUGAUACCGCCCAAGAGUUCAUAUCGACGGCGGUGUUUGGCACCUCGAUGUCGGCUCAUCUCAUCCUGGGGCUGUAGCCGGUCCCAAGGGUAUGGCUGUUCGCCAUUUAAAGAGGUACGUGAGCUGGGUUUAAAACGUCGUGAGACAGUUUGGUCCCUAUCUGCCGUGGGCGUUGGAUAUUUGAAGGGGGCUGCUCCUAGUACGAGAGGACCGGAGUGGACGAACCUCUGGUGUACCGGUUGUCACGCCAGUGGCAUCGCCGGGUAGCUAUGUUCGGAAGAGAUAACCGCUGAAAGCAUCUAAGCGGGAAACUCGCCUUAAGAUGAGAUAUCCCUGGGGACUAGAUCCCCUUGAAGGGUCGUUCGAGACCAGGACGUUGAUAGGUCAGGUGUGUAAGCGCAGUAAUGCGUUCAGCUAACUGAUACUAAUUGCCCGUAAGGCUUGAUC
rnacentral:rRNA from 1 species